CAUGGAGCUGAAAUCAGUCGAAGAUACCAGCUGGCUGCAACUGUUUAUUAAAAACACAGCACUGUGCAAACACGAAAGUGGACGUAUACGGUGUGACGCCUGCCCGGUGCCGGAAGGUUAAUUGAUGGGGUUAUCCGUAAGGAGAAGCUCUUGAUCGAAGCCCCGGUAAACGGCGGCCGUAACUAUAACGGUCCUAAGGUAGCGAAAUUCCUUGUCGGGUAAGUUCCGACCUGCACGAAUGGCGUAAUGAUGGCCAGGCUGUCUCCACCCGAGACUCAGUGAAAUUGAACUCGCUGUGAAGAUGCAGUGUACCCGCGGCAAGACGGAAAGACCCCGUGAACCUUUACUAUAGCUUGACACUGAACACUGGUCCUUGAUGUGUAGGAUAGGUGGGAGGCUUUGAAGCGUGGACGCCAGUCUGCGUGGAGCCAACCUUGAAAUACCACCCUUUAAUGGCUGGUGUUCUAACGUAGACCCGUAAUCCGGGUUGCGGACAGUGUCUGGUGGGUAGUUUGACUGGGGCGGUCUCCUCCUAAAGAGUAACGGAGGAGCACGAAGGUUAGCUAAUCCUGGUCGGACAUCAGGAGGUUAGUGCAAAGGCAUAAGCUAGCUUGACUGCGAGAGUGACGGCUCGAGCAGGUGCGAAAGCAGGUCUUAGUGAUCCGGUGGUUCUGAAUGGAAGGGCCAUCGCUCAACGGAUAAAAGGUACUCCGGGGAUAACAGGCUGAUACCGCCCAAGAGUUCAUAUCGACGGCGGUGUUUGGCACCUCGAUGUCGGCUCAUCACAUCCUGGGGCUGAAGUAGGUCCCAAGGGUAUGGCUGUUCGCCAUUUAAAGUGGUACGCGAGCUGGGUUUAGAACGUCGUGAGACAGUUCGGUCCCUAUCUGCCGUGGGCGCUGGAGAAUUGAGGGGGGCUGCUCCUAGUACGAGAGGACCGGAGUGGACGCAUCACUGGUGUUCGGGUUGUCAUGCCAAUGGCAUUGCCCGGUAGCUAAAUGCGGAA
rnacentral:rRNA from 1 species